rnacentral:sRNA from 1 species
ACACGUGAAGGGAGGUGGUCCAGACUUUGUGUAGUUAUUGGACUCGUGAGGUGGCUGUCCGCUAGCCGCUGUCUUCCUGGACUCCGACUCGUCGAGACCGCUGACAUCGGUUUUGGCGAAUAUCAGGCAGCUACCCGACCCCUGGGGCGCCGGCCCAGUCCAGCCGGCCCGCGUACCAACGCGGUGCGCCCCAGGGGUCGCUGCAU